rnacentral:rRNA from 1 species
AUUGAACGCUGGCGGCAGGCCUAACACAUGCAAGUCGAACGAGUGGCGGACGGGUGAGUAAUGUCUGGGCAACUGCCUGGUGGAGGGGGAUAACUACUGGAAACGGUAGCUAAUACCGCAUACCAUCAGAUGUGCCCAGAUGGGAUGAGCGUGUUGGUGGGGUAACGGAUCACCAAGGCGACGAUCCCUAGCUGGUCUGAGCGGAUGACCAGCCAAACGGGAACUGAGACACGGUCCAGACUCCUACGGGAGGCAGCAGUGGGGAAUAUUGGACAAUGGGGGCAAGCCUGAUGCAGCCAUGCCGCGUGUAUGAAGAAGGCCUUCGGGUUGUAAAGUACUUUCAGCGGGGAGGCGUUACCCGCAGAAGAAGCACCGGCUAACUCCGUGCCAGCAGCCGCGGUAAUUC